CAAAUUCUCUCCUGGCUGUAAAAUCAUGGAAUUCCAGGUAAGGGAAGGAAGGUGAUGGGAAUCUAUUCAUAGUAUUCAAAGAAAACAACCAGGAAAAGAAAUGGGUUUAAAUGAAAGGAAAACAAGAUGUACAAUUAAACAUGUGCUCAUCUCCUUAGCUGUUCAUUAGGCCUCCUUAGAUAUCAUAAAAGUAUGACUUACACCUGUUCACUGGGGACAGUUUGGGCAUAACAGCUACCAUUGAUUUGGUGCUUCUGAUGUGUUUACUACUAUAUUUAACAGUUCACACAUUUUAUUUCACUUAGUGCUCAAGACCUGUGGGUAGGUGUGAGGAUCGUCCCCACUUUGAGAGGAACUAAAUGAAGCCUCCCGAGAUGUUACUGAUUGAGGAACAAAUAUCUAGUGUUUACAGAAAUAAAAGCUCUAUUACAUUUCCUCAUGUCAGAGUAUUCAUAGGGUUUAUGUGCUUCUCUGGGAAGAAAAGGAAAUACAACUGUUUUGCAGUACCUCCAGGCCCAGGUCACCUCUGUCCUCCCUUCCGUCCAUCCCUGGAGCCUCCAACGCCACUGUGAGAGAAAAGAACCGUGCCAAUCUGAGAAAAUCCAAGGGAGAUCUUUUUUGCAAGGCGGAUACAAAUGAAAACAUUGCAAGGCUUUGUUUCCACUUCUCAAUCAGAAAAUGGAUUUAUGAAGGCAGCUGUCUGGUUCAAGGGCAUGCAAGAAGACAUUCAACUCCCUGGAGAAAAGAAAACACAACAAAACGAUGAAGUUUUAUUAACAGGUUAUUUUGAGUCUGUUUCUUCAAAUUCCAGUUCAAAAGUUUGGACCAGGAUAAAUUGAGAGAAAAAACCUUGCCGUGAUUUUGCAAAGUUGGAGCCAGGGAACACACACGCAAGCCUUGAGUCUUUGCAUGGCAGGUUUUUUCAAGUCAGAUUUCCGGUUCAACUAUUGAGCAAAGUAAGGAAUACCAAGCAGAAUUUGAACUUUGCUGUUCAAGUUGUGGGAAGUUGGAGUUGGGAGCCGUUGGAUAGCAGAGGUCUCGCUGAGCUCAGUGACUGUUCAGCAUCAUUGUUCCAGCACUGGAAACACAAAGGGAGGAAAAGCAGUCCAACAGCAGGAGUGCUUGUAUACCACGCAGCUCCAUGCCGUAUCUUUUGAACAAAGAAUGAACCCAAGGAUGAAAAGCAGCCAGAAAGACUACAGAUGCCCCAGGAGAGCCUCUUCCCAUGCCUCACUCUGCCUCAGAGUCCCUGGCACUGGCGUCUGAGUGAGGAAGCAAGAGAGGUGAUCCUGAAGUCCUUAACUGCCCCGUAAGUUACCUGAAAGCCUGCUGUCCUCCCAGGACCUGUCCAAGCUGCACCUGAGGGAGAGAAGCCCACCUGCUCCAGCUCUUCCAGAGUAACAGCACUGACACAGGUGUUCCGUUAAAACCAGCAACCAACCCAGGAAGAUUGGAAUGGACUUGGUAGCUUCUAUGAUGUAGGAGCUGGGAGAGGGACCAGAACUCCAAUAGUAACACGACAGGACCCUAAAGAGUUUUGGAGCUCCUGGUCACAGUCCACAGUGGAGACAACACAGAACAGCUAUGACACAUUGGACCCUACACUUAACGCCCAGCGUCUUCUAAGAAGAGGAAACAGGGAGGAACCUACAGAAGGUGACCAAGGCAGAGGCUGGAGUGGUGCUGCCACAAGCCAAGGGUACCAGGAGUCACCGGGAGCUAGAAAAGGCACAGGCGGGUCUUCCCCAGGCUUUGUUGGGAGGGCCACCUUGCUGACACUUUCCUUUCCCACUUCCUGUUUCCGCUCUGUGAGAGGAAGUUUCUGUGUCCCAAGCCUCCACGUGUCUGGUAAUUUGUCUCAGCAGUGCUAGGAAAGUCUCUCAGCCUAUCCUGGAACUGAGGCUACUAGCACGAAUAUCAGGGAACACUUGUCUUAAGUUCAAAGAGUGAUGAUACAAAACAAAUGGGCAGCCUUAUAGUGAACGCAUCUGGAAAACUGUACAGAAUUAAAAUGUUUAAACUUAUGUUUAUUCCUUUCUUUCUUUUUCUCCUUUAGAGCUAGGUCUCAUCCUAUUGCUCAAGUUGGCCUCCAACUCCUGGGCUCAACUGAUCCUCCUGUGUAGCUGGGACAUCGGUGUGGGC
rnacentral:lncRNA from 1 species